rnacentral:rRNA from 1 species
UACAGAGGGUGCAAGCGUUGUUCGGAAUUACUGGGCGUAAAGCGCGUGUAGGCUGCGACAUAAGUCGGAUGUGAAAGCCCUCAGCUUAACUGAGGAAGUGCAUCCGAUACUGCGUCGCUUGAGUGUCGGAGGGGAUGGCGGAAUUCCCGGUGUAGAGGUGAAAUUCGUAGAUAUCGGGAGGAACACCUGUGGCGAAGGCGGCCAUCUGGACGACGACUGACGCUGAGACGCGAAAGCGUGGGGAGCAAACAGG